UACGAAGGGGGCUAGCGUUGUUCGGAUUUACUGGGCGUAGAGCGCACGUAGGCGGAUUGGUCAGUUAGGGGUGAAAUCCUGGAGCUCAACUCCAGAACUGCCUUUAAUACUGCCAGUCUCGAGUCCGGAAGAGGUAAGUGGAACUCCUAGUGUAGAGGUGGAAUUCGUAGAUAUUAGGAAGAACACCAGUGGCGAAGGCGGCUUACUGGUCCGGUACUGACGCUGAGGUGCGAAAGCGUGGGGAGCAAACAGG
rnacentral:rRNA from 1 species